rnacentral:rRNA from 1 species
UUUAACUGAAGAGUUUGAUCAUGGCUCAGAUUGAACGCUGGCGGCAGGCUUAACACAUGCAAGUCGAGCGGGGGAAGGUAGCUUGCUACUGGACCUAGCGGCGGACGGGUGAGUAAUGCUUAGGAAUCUGCCUAUUAGUGG